rnacentral:rRNA from 1 species
GACGGGAGGCGCACAACCAGUGGAGCAUGUGGUUUAAUUCGAUACGAAGCGAUGAACCUUACCUGGGCUUGAAAUGUGCCUGCAAACCUCCAGAAACGGAGGAAUCCUUAGAGGGUGGUACACAGCUGUUGCAUGGCUGUCGUCAGCUCGUGACGUGAGUUGUUCUCUUAAGUGAGGUAACGAGCGCAACCCCCAUCCGGUGUUAUUGUGUCACCGGAGACUGCCUAGCAUUAUUUUGUUAGGAGGAAGGAGGGGACGACGUCAAGUCAUCAUGAUGCUUAUGUCCAGGGCUACACACAUCCUACAAUGGAGAGUACAAUGGGUCGCGAAACCGCGAGGUGGAGCCAAUCCCACAAAACUUUCCUCAGUUGGGAUUGCAGGCUGAAACUCGCCUGCAUGAACCCGGAAUUGGUAGUAAUCGCGCAUCAGCAGCGCGCGGUGAAUACGUUCUCGCCUCUU